rnacentral:rRNA from 1 species
GACGUAGGGGUCGAGCGUUGUUCGGAAUUACUGGGCGUAAAGGGCGCGUAGGCGGUACUUCAAGUCAGGCGUGAAAGCCCCGGGCUCAACCUGGGAACCGCGCUUGAGACUGGAGAACUAGAGUUCGGGAGAGGAUGGUGGAAUUCCCAGUGUAGAGGUGAAAUUCGUAGAUAUUGGGAAGAACACCGAUGGCGAAGGCAGCCAUCUGGACCGACACUGACGCUGAGGCGCGAAAGCGUGGGGAGCAAACAGG